UGGCCGAGCUGCCCCCAGACCUGCGCUGCCCCCACUCCCCGCAGCAGAGGUGCCGGGCUCGGCAGCGGCCACCCAGCGGCCGCUCCCCGAGCUCAAGGCAGCACCGGGCCACCUCCAGGCAGGGGGCGCAGCCGCGAGCUCGGGGCUGCAGCUUUUCCAGCCAGGAGAGCUGCGGCGCACCCGACCCGGCCGGGUUACCUCCCUCCGGCCCCGGGCGGGGGGCGCUCGGGAGGGUGAUGCUGCACCUGCCAUGCAACCUGCCUGCGCCGAGAGGCAGUGGGAAGCGCACAGCAGCCGUUCCCCAGGACCCAGCACCGGCGCGGAGGGUGCAGUGCAGUGCAAUGCAAGCGCCCCCCCCGCCCCGGGCUAGAAGAGGGAACGCAAUGCAGCCCCUCUCCCCAGGCUCAGCAGCCGGGGCCAGAAGGACGAUGCAAUCUCGCCCCACCUGCUGGGGGGAGAGAGGGGAACGCAGCACCCCGGCAACCACCGCGGGGAGCCGGGACCCAGCUGCAACCGCAAUCCAAUCCCGCAGGGAGCGUCCGGCUGCAGCAGAUUGCCUGGGCCAGCCAGCGCCGGAGGGGAGAAGAAUUGUUAUGCACUCUUCUCCUCUGGUAACAGCUCCAGCUGUGAUAAUUCUCAUUAAUUCCAGCCUUAUGCAUCCCACUGGGCAUCCAUUAUGUUACAAAGAGCCCUUGAUCUGCCAAGCAUCAUUAACACACACAGGGAGAGAGACAAUCCCUGCCCUACAAAGCUUUCAUCUGAAGAAGACAAGCAACAUGCAAAAGGUGGGGGAGAAGGAGUCAAACAAACUAUGUACAAUUCACA